AAGUGUUACAGUUCUUUUAGAAUUUGUCUAGCAGGUUUUCUGGUUUUUACCAGAAAAAAAACCACA
rnacentral:snRNA from 1 species